UACAUCUUGUUUCUAAAGGUCCAUUAGAAGCCGCCCCGUGUUGAGCGACUGAACUCUAACUUAUAAACUUUUUUUCUUUAGAUAGUGGGUGCUUUCCAUUUAAUAACACAAGUCCAUAUAAAUAUUAUUCUGUCUUUGUUCCAUAUUCAAUGAGUAACUAAGAUAGGAUGAUGCUCGUGUCGACUUGCUGUGUUAUUAAAUGGAAAGCACUCAGUGUCGUCCGUGUGACAUCGGGAAAAGUGAUUUGGGGUAGAGAAUAGUUAAUGAGAAUUAACAUGUUUGGGAAAAUAGGUGCAAUAUGUGAUAGAGUCGUUUUAUCCCGCCAAAGGAGCUCAAGACAUUGCAACAAAGUCGCUAAAUCGUCAUAAAAAUAGACGUCUUGUUUAUCUCAAGUUAUGAAAGUAAACAUAAGAAUGUCCUGGUCUUUAAGCCCGGGAGUACUAAUUACAUGCGAGACAAACGCACGCCGUUACAUCAUCAACAAUGACUCGAGGACGUCGUUCUUCAGUGCCAAAUCUACUUUAUAGACGGAUGAAAAUCAUCUCCGCGACGGAUUGGAAAUCCCGUUUUAGCCGCGAGCAAUUAACCACCCCACGGCGGAUCGCCGGCGUUUAGUCCCCAGGGCGUUCGACCCUGCAAGGAAUGCAAGCCGCCUCGGGUGCCGUUCACUUCCGAUGCUCUUCGCGCGAUGUGCAGACACUCUUUUUGCUUCAUUCGAUUGCAAUUAUGUGGCCACCCUUACGCAAGGUCGUCCCUCGUCGCUAAACAGCUCAAGUUUCGUGAGCGCGAGCUAAUUAUCACCUACCGUGGACCUUAUCAUUUCGACACCAUAAAUACAACGGCAGAAUUAAGAACACGGAGUGUCCCAUUUGUGGCCAAUCUUAUUUUUAAUUAAAAUUUUUUUCAGUUUUAAGUCACUCAAGCUUUCCGUUUGAUUUUACAUACCAAAUACUUUAAAAAAGUUAAUUUGUGUAUAAUUAAAUGUAAUAUUUAAUUUAGCUUAAUUAAGUUUCAAAAAUGUAAACAAAACAGUAGGAUUUUUAUGUGACUAACUGAGGCAUUUAAAUCUCUUCAACAACAUUUCUUUGUUCAGGAAAAAUCUGUGCAACGAGCGCGAGACGAAUAAUUACAUUGGAAGCUCGGGAACGCUAAUUUUUCCAACAGAAAUUCCGCACCCCCGAUGUCAAUCCUCCGUCGGACGGGAAAAAACUCGCUCGGCACGAUCAUUACCACCUGUUUCUGCAACAGGUGUGCCGAGAUCGUUAGAUGGAUUGCAAAAGGGCGACGAUUCGCGGUAUGCGAGAUUACAAACAAGCGCGCGCCCGUGCACACGCGAGCAUUUGUGAACGCAUCCUGCGGCCAUGUACCACGCUUCUAAUACACGACUAUUAUAGACGGUCAAACGGAUGUCGAGAACCGUAAAUAUAUCGCAUUCUAUCAUUAUGAGCUGCGCUAAACUGUGAUUUACCGCGAACAGUUGCACGAUGAAGUAAUCAAAACGCGUACUUCGAUAGCGUGGAUAUGUGUUGCGCCACCACAUCUCUGCGUCUCCGUUGAAGAAUACAGCUGCAUUUGAAGUUACGUCACACUACGAUACCUUCGUAAUCCUACUCAUUAAGAGUGAAAUUGUUCAAAUUGAUCGUGAGAAAAACGAUUUGCACGGAUAAGAAUCGCGUCUAAGUAAUUGGAAUUAAUUUUUGAAGCACGGAUCUCUCUGUGUGAAUACGUCCAGAUCGUUCUUCUCAGUCCAAUUCGUUCGGUUUUAGAGUAUUUUCUAUUCUAUUGAUAGUUAUUGUUAAAAAAUAGAGGAAAUAAUGAGAAAAAUGUAAACCAUAAGAGUGUGCGUCCUUUCUUUUCGCUUAAUUCAUACAUGGCGACCAAUUCGUCGUUCUCGAAGCAGAAAUUGCUGCAGUUAUCUACACCUUUAAAUAUAUGAGGAAAACGGGUCAGAGGAUCCUCGCUAUAUUCAACCGCGAUGUCAACCGGGAUGAGAAACCGACCGCAAGGCUGCGGUGAAUCGAAGGAACAAUGCGGAGCAUCGGCAAGCAAAUCCAUUAUUGCGUACAGAAGACCACCGCGGAAAUUCAUUCCGUGCGAGCAAAAUUAUAAUGCGAUACAAAUGGAGGUAAUGAUAAUAGCGCGAAGUAAACGCAAAAAUAAUAAUGGA